rnacentral:rRNA from 1 species
CCGCGGUAUUUUGACCGUGCGAAGGUAGCGCAAUCACUUGUCUUUUAAAUGAAGACCUGUAGGGCUUAGCUGUCUCCCCCUCCCAGUCAAUGAAAUUGAUUUCCCCGUGCAGAAGCGGGGAUAAAAACAUAAGACGAGAAGACCCUAUGGAGCUUAAGACGCCAGGGCAGCUCAUGUUAAACAUUCCAAGACAAAGGAAUAAACUGAAUGAAAUCCUGCCCUAGUGUCUUUGGUUGGGGCGACCACGGGGAAAAACUUAACCCCCAUGUGGAAUAGGAAUACUACUUUCCUAAACUCAAGAGCUCCCGCUCUAAUAAACAGAACUUCUGACCAAAAGGAUCCGGCAAUGCCGAUCAACGGACCGAGUUACCCUAGGGAUAACAGCGCAAUCCUCUUAAAGAGUCCCUAUCGACAAGAGGGUUUACGACCUCGAUGUUGGAUCAGGACAUCCUAAUGGUG